rnacentral:rRNA from 1 species
GUGCCAGCAGCCGCGGUAAUACGAAGGGGGCGAGCGUUGUUCGGAUUUACUGGGCGUAAAGGGCGCGUAGGCGGCGGACCAAGUCGAGUGUGAAAGCCCCGGGCUCAACCUGGGAGGUGCGCUCGAGACUGGUUUGCUAGAGUCCGGGAGAGGGAUGCGGAAUUCCAGGUGUAGCGGUGAAAUGCGUAGAUAUCUGGAGGAACACCGGUGGCGAAGGCGGCAUCCUGGACCGGCAUUGACGCUGAGGCGCGAAAGCCAGGGGAGCAAACGGGAUUAGAUACCCCAGUAGUCC